GAUGAACGCUAGCGGCAGGCUUAACACAUGCAAGUCGAGGGGUAGGGCACUUCGGUGCUUGAGACCGGCGCACGGGUGCGUAACGCGUAUGCAAUCUGCCUUUCACAGAGGGAUAGCCCAGAGAAAUUUGGAUUAAUACCUCAUAGCAUAGUGAGCUGGCAUCAGCACACUAUUAAAGUCACAACGGUGAAAGAUGAGCAUGCGUCCCAUUAGCUAGUUGGUAAGGUAACGGCUUACCAAGGCGACGAUGGGUAGGGGUCCUGAGAGGGAGAUCCCCCACACUGGUACUGAGACACGGACCAG
rnacentral:rRNA from 1 species